rnacentral:rRNA from 1 species
AGUGAACGCUGGCGGUAGGCCUAACACAUGCAAGUCGAACGGCAGCACAGAGGAGCUUGCUCCUUGGGUGGCGAGUGGCGGACGGGUGAGGAAUACAUCGGAAUCUACUCUGUCGUGGGGGAUAACGUAGGGAAACUUACGCUAAUACCGCAUACGACCUACGGGUGAAAGCAGGGGACCUUCGGGCCUUGCGCGAUUGAAUGAGCCGAUGUCGGAUUAGCUAGUUGGCGGGGUAAAGGCCCACCAAGGCGACGAUCCGUAGCUGGUCUGAAGGGUGGAUCAGCCAGACUGGACCUGAGACACGGUCCAGACUCCUACGGGAGGCAGCAGUGGGGAAUAUUGGACAAUGGACGCAAGCCUGAUCCAGCCAUACCGCGUGGGUGAAGAAGGCCUUCGGGUUGUAAAGCCCUUUUGUUGGGAAAGAAAUCCAGCUGGCUAAUACCCGGUUGGGAUGACGGUACCCAAAGAAUAAGCACCGGCUAACUUCGUGCCAGCCGCCGCAGUAA